rnacentral:rRNA from 1 species
GACGUAGGGCGCGAGCGUUGUCCGGAUUUAUUGGGCGUAAAGAGCUCGUAGGCGGCUUGUCGCGUCGAAUGUGAAAACUCGGGGCUCAACUCCGAGCUUGCAUUCGAUACGGGCAGGCCAGAGUUCGGUAGGGGAGACUGGAAUUCCUGGUGUAGCGGUGAAAUGCGCAGAUAUCAGGAGGAACACCGGUGGCGAAGGCGGGUCUCUGGGCCGAUACUGACGCUGAGGAGCGAAAGCGUGGGGAGCGAACAGG